rnacentral:rRNA from 1 species
ACAUGUAGYGGUGAAAUACAUAGAUAUGUCAUAGAACACCGAUUGCGAAGGCAGCUCACAUAACUGUAACUGACGCUGAGGCUCGAAAGYGCGGGGAUCAAACAGGAUUAGAUACCCUGGUAGUCCGCACUGUAAACGAUGAUUACUCGCUGCUGGGAGGUAACUUUCAGUGGCUUACCGAAMGCGAUAAGUAAUCCACCUGGGGAGUACGCCGGCAACGGUG